AUAAUGCAUAGCCCGAGUUGAGAGACUGAUCGGGCCACAUUGGGGACUGAGACACGGGGCCCAAACUCCUACGGGGGGAGGGGCAGCAGUAGGGGGAAUCUUCACAAUGGCCGCAAGUCUGAUGGAGCAACGCCGCGUGAGUGAAGAAGGUUUUCGGAUCGUAAAGCUCUGUUGUUGGUGAAGAAGGAUAGAGGUAGUAACUGGCCUUUAUUUGACGGUAAUCAACCAGAAAGUCACGGCUAACUACGUGCCAGCAGCCGCGGUAAU
rnacentral:rRNA from 1 species